CCCUUAGAUGUUCUGGGCUGCACGCGCGCUACACUGAUACUUUCAGCGAGUCCACCACCUUGCCUGGGAGGGUGGGGUAACCUCUGGAAAGUGCAUCGUGAUGGGGAUCGAUUAUUGUAAUUAUUAAUCUUCAACGAGGAAUUCCUAGUAAGCAUGUGUCAUCAGCCCGUGCUGAUUACGUCCCUGCCCUUUGUACACACCGCCCGUCGCUCCUACCGAUGAAUCGUCCGGUGAAGUUCAUGGAGUGGUGGUUGUUCCAGCUGCUGUCGAAGUGAAAUGGACCUCACGAUUUAGAGGAAGGAGAAGUCGUAACA
rnacentral:rRNA from 1 species